AGCAGCCGCGGUAAUUCCAGCUCCAAUAGCGUAUAUUAAAGUUGUUGCAGUUAAAAGCUCGUAGUUGAAUUUCGGGAUUGACACAUCGGUCGUGCCUUAAGGGGUAUGAACUGGUGUAGUCAAUUUCUCACCUUCUGGAGAACCGCGAUGCCCUUAAUUGGGUGUCGCGGGGAACCAGGACCUUUACUUUGAAAAAUUUAGAGUGUUUAAAGCAGGCAUUUUGCUUGAAUACAUUAGCAUGGAAUAAUAAAAUAGGACGGCAUGAUUCUAUUUUGUUGGUUUCUAGGAUCACCGUAAUGAUUAAUAGGGAUAGUUGGGGGCAUUAGUAUUCAAUUGUCAGAGGUGAAAUUCUUGGAUUUAUUGAAGACUAACUACUGCGAAAGCAUUUGCCAAGGAUGUUUUCAUUAAUCAAGAACGAAAGUUAGGGGAUCGAAGACGAUCAGAUACCGUCGUAGUCUUAACCAUAAACUAUGCCGACUAGGAAUCAGACGAUGUUAAUUUUUUAAUGACUCGUUUGGCA
rnacentral:misc_RNA from 1 species